UACGUAGGGUGCGAGCGUUGUCCGGAAUUAUUGGGCGUAAAGAGCUCGUAGGCGGUUCGUCGCGUCGAAUGUGAAAACCCGGGGCUCAACUCCGGGCCUGCAUUCGAUACGGGCGGACUAGAGUUCGGUAGGGGAGACUGGAAUCCUGGUGUAGCGGUGAAAUGCGCAGAUAUCAGGAGGAACACCGGUGGCGAAGGCGGGUCUCUGGGGCCGAUACUGACGCUGAGGAGCGAAAGCGUGGGGAGCGAA
rnacentral:rRNA from 1 species